rnacentral:tRNA from 1 species
GAGGGUAUAACUCAGUGGUAGAGCGCAUGCUUAGCAUGCAUGAGGUCCUGGGUUCAAUCCCUAGUACCUCCA